rnacentral:rRNA from 1 species
GAUGAACGCUGGCGGCGUGCCUAAUACAUGCAAGUCGAGCGAACGGACGAGAAGCUUGCUUUUCUGAUGUUAGCGGCGGACGGGUGAGUAACACGUGGAUAACCUACCUAUAAGACUGGGAUAACUUCGGGAAACCGGAGCUAAUACCGGAUAAUAUUUUGAACCGCAUGGUUCAAAAGUGAAAGACGGUCUUGCUGUCACUUAUAGAUGGAUUCGCGCUGCAUUAGCUAGUUGGUAAGGUAACGGCUUACCAAGGCAACGAUGCAUAGCCGACCUCAGAGGGUGAUCGGCCACACUGGAACUGAGACACGGUCCAGACUCCUACGGGAGGCAGCAGUAGGGAAUCUUCCGCAAUGGGCGAAAGCCUGACGGAGCAACGCCGCGUGAGUGAUGAAGGUCUUCGGAUCGUAAAACUCUGUUAUUAGGGAAGAACAUAUGUGUAAGUAACUGUGCACAUCUUGACGGUACCUAAUCAGAAAGCCACGGCUAACUACGUG